AAGUCGUAACAAGGUCUCCGUAGGUGAACCUGCGGAGGGAUCAUUACCGAGUUAGGGUCUCACCGGCCCGAUCUCCCAACCCGUUGUCUACUUGACCAUCGUUGCUUCGGCGAGCCCGUCCUCAUGGACCGCCGGGGGGCCUUCGUGCCCCCGGGCCCGCGCUCGUCGAUAGCCCCCCAUUUAAAAUCUUAAUUAAACGUGUCUUGAAUCUAAGUAUUAUUGUUAAAUAAAAACAAAACUUUCAACAACGGAUCUCUUGGUUCUG
rnacentral:misc_RNA from 1 species